CAUGGAAUAAUCAGUUUUCUCUAUGUUCUUUCCUUUUUUAAAUCUCUUAUAAACUUUAAAAGAUGCUUUACUUCCAGAAUGGAAGUCUGCUACCCUGGUAGUCUGCUGCCCUGGUAGCGCAGCAGACUAAAGCACUGUUAUUAACAUCAACUGCCUGCAAUUACUGCAAGUUCAAAUCUCACCAGGCUCAAGGUUGACUCAGCCUUCCAUCCUUUCUAAGACUCCAAGGAGCCACAGAUCCCAACAGUUUAUUUCCAGUUUAUUCUAUUUGGGGAAACUGAUUACCUGAAGGAAUCUCCCACAUCUGGAUGGGAAGAGGCAGAUACCUAUCGAUUACUUAGAUGACUUGAUGGAGUAUAGCGAAGGAGGCCUCCACUGAAGAUACACUAUGAGGUAUCUCUGUUCUCCACGUAGGUGCUACAGGAUCCUGAGAUAUUAAUAGUAGAUGGAUGUAGCCAUGUGCUUUGUUUCAAAAAGUGCCCAAUGAUUCAGUAAGAAGACAAUUUCGGUCAGAUUGAUGCCAGUUGUGUGGAGAGGAAGAGGUUUGCUGAAUCACAAAGAGCAGACUUUAUCAGAAAAAUCUAACAAUGUGCCGUGCUUUGCUAAAGUGAGCUAAAGUGUGGCCAGCUGGAACUUUGAAAUUUAACUGUAAGCCACUGGGACUGUUAAAUCAUAACCGAACUUAUCUUUAAUGAAGUUUUCUGAAAUGGCACCCGACUACAUAAUCAUCACAGUAUAACUCUUUUUAGCUGUAGUGUAAAGAGCAGACACAGUAAAGCUUUCGACAAAAACUGGGAUAUACCGUACAUCUGAAUAUUUGAAAUUAAGAACUGGUGGAUGCAAAUAUCUCUCAAAGACAAAUGAAGAAGUGAGAUAACCUGCCUAUGACAUGGUGCUAUCUUCAUCCAUCCACUCUAUCUCCUAGCAUCACUGACUAGUGCUAAACCUUUGAAGAGCAUUCAGAAGCUACAGCUGGCGCACGGGUAGUUUUGGGGCCCCCAAGAAUGUGACACUACUGUUUUGUGAGCUGCAUUGGUUACCAGUCUGCUUCCGGAUGUAAUUCAAGGUAUUGGUGAUCACCUUUAAAGCCCUUCAUGGCAUGGGUCCAGGUUACUUGAGGGUCCGUCUCAUCCCACUGGAUAGGCCCAUACCACUUGCGCCAGUAGAGGAGGAAUGCUGCAGGUCCUAUCAGACUGAUUAUUCCAGCUGGCGGAGUCCAGGAGGAGGCCUUCUCUGCUGUUGCUCCUGCCCUAUGGAACAUCUUGCCCCCAAAUGUGAGGUUGGUCCCAAUCCUUUUAUCUUUUCACAAAGGCCUAAAGACGUGACUCUGUCAGUUGGCCUGGGGCCCCAGUUGGGGAACAGCACAAUGAAGGUAGUUGAUUGAGUAAUAAUAGAUCCCACCUUUCCCCAAUCUGUCCCCGCUCCCCCAUGUAUACUUGGUUUUGAUGUCUGAUUGUAACUUUUUAUGUUUUAACUGUAUAUGUAACUGUAAACUGCUCAGAGUUACUCUAUGGUAAGAUGGACAGCCAGUGAAUUUUAUAAUUAAAAAAAUAAACAUUAAUUCUACAAUUUUGAA